AGACGAACUAAACGAGAGGAGAC
rnacentral:rasiRNA from 1 species